AUGCGGUGGAGGCCCUCCUUCGUUUCAUCAGGGAAAUUUGCAAAAACAAAAAAUGGCGCGGGCGUCGGUCGGUACACCGAAGCUGCGGCAAUCGACAAAACGGGUCGAAUCCGAGAGGAUCUGGAAAUGGCAAUGCAAAUGCCAAAUCGCUGGGGGCUUAUCUUUAAUUUAAUCCGGUGCGGUGCGAGUGGUAUGAUUUGGUGGGGAGGGGCCCCGGGCGUGGGGAUGAGUAGGAUUUGGUGCAAGGCAAGACACGCCCGGUGUUGGUGGUUGGCCACAGCACCAGCAGUACGGCCGUAG
rnacentral:rRNA from 1 species